rnacentral:rRNA from 1 species
UACGAAGGGGGCUAGCGUUGUUCGGAAUUACUGGGCGUAAAGGGCGCGUAGGCGGACAGUUUAGUCAGAGGUGAAAGCCCAGGGCUCAACCUUGGAAUUGCCUUUGAUACUGGCUGUCUUGAGUUCGGGAGAGGUGAGUGGAAUGCCGAGUGUAGAGGUGAAAUUCGUAGAUAUUCGGCGGAACACCAGUGGCGAAGGCGACUCACUGGCCCGAUACUGACGCUGAGGCGCGAAAGCGUGGGGAGCAAACAGG